rnacentral:rRNA from 1 species
CCGGGCACUCUAACGGGACUGCCCGCGAAAGCGGGAGGAAGGAGGGGACGACGUCUGGUCAGCAUGGCCCUUACGGCCUGGGCGACACACGUGCUACAAUGCCCACUACAAAGCGAUGCCACCCGGCAACGGGGAGCUAAUCGCAAAAAGGUGGGCCCAGUUCGGAUUGGGGUCUGCAACCCGACCCCAUGAAGCCGGAAUCGCUAGUAAUCGCGGAUCAGCCAUGCCGCGGUGAAUACGUUCCCGGGCCUU